rnacentral:rRNA from 1 species
CGUAGACUCCUACGGGAGGCAGCAGUGGGGAAUAUUGCACAAUGGGCGCAAGCCUGAUGCAGCCAUGCCGCGUGUAUGAAGAAGGCCUUCGGGUUGUAAAGUACUUUCAGCAGUGAGGAAGGUGGGUAUGUUAAUAGCAUACUCAUUUGACGUUAGCUGCAGAAGAAGCACCGGCUAACUCCGUGCCAGCAGCCGCGGUAAUACGGAGGGUGCGAGCGUUGUCCGGAUUUAUUGGGCGUAAAGGGCUCGUAGGUGGUUGAUCGCGUCGGAAGUGUAAUCUUGGGGCUUAACCCUGAGCGUGCUUUCGAUACGGGUUGACUUGAGGAAGGUAGGGGAGAAUGGAAUUCCUGGUGGAGCGGUGGAAUGCGCAGAUAUCAGGAGGAACACCAGUGGCGAAGGCGGUUCUCUGGGCCUUUCCUGACGCUGAGGAGCGAAAGCGUGGGGAGCGAACAGGCUUAGAUACCCUGGUAG